GAUGAACGCUGGCGGCGUGCCUAAUACAUGCAAGUCGAGCGAACGGACGAGAAGCUUGCUUCUCUGAUGUUAGCGGCGGACGGGUGAGUAACACGUGGAUAACCUACCUAUAAGACUGGGAUAACUUCGGGAAACCGGAGCUAAUACCGGAUAAUAUUUUGAACCGCAUGGUUCAAAAGUGAAAGACGGUCUUGCUGUCACUUAUAGAUGGAUCCGCGCUGCAUUAGCUAGUUGGUAAGGUAACGGCUUACCAAGGCAACGAUGCAUAGCCGACCUGAGAGGGUGAUCGGCCAAGCUGGAACUGAGACACGGUCCAGACUCCUACGGGAGGCAGCAGUAGAGAAUCUUCCGCAAUGGGCGAAAGCCUGACGGAGCAACGCCGCGUGAGUGAUGAAGGUCUUCGGAUCGUAAAACUCUGUUAUUAGGGAAGAACAUAUGUGUAAGUAACUGUGCACAUCUUGACGGUACCUAAUCAGAAAGCCACGGCUAACUACGUG
rnacentral:rRNA from 1 species